rnacentral:rRNA from 1 species
UACGUAGGUGGCGAGCGUUGUCCGGAUUUACUGGGCGUAAAGGGAGCGUAGGCGGACUUUUAAGUGAGAUGUGAAAUACUCGGGCUCAACUUGAGUGCUGCAUUUCAAACUGGAAGUCUAGAGUGCAGGAGAGGAGAAUGGAAUUCCUAGUGUAGCGGUGAAAUGCGUAGAGAUUAGGAAGAACACCAGUGGCGAAGGCGGCUUACUGGACUGUAACUGACGUUGAGGCUCGAAAGCGUGGGGAGCAAACAGG